GAUGAAGAACGUAGUGAAAUGCGAUAAGUAAUGUGAAUUGCAGAAUUCAGUGAAUCAUCGAAUCUUUGAACGCACAUUGCGCCCGCCAGUAUUCUGGCGGGCAUGCCUGUUCGAGCGUCAUUACAACCCUCAGGCCCCCGGGCCUGGCGUUGGGGAUCGGCGGAGCCCCCCGUGGGCACACGCCGUCCCCCAAAUGCAGUGGCGGUCCCGCCGCAGCUUCCAUCGCGUAGUAGCUAACACCUCGCGACUGGAGAGCGGCGCGGCCACGCCGUGAAACACCCAACUCUUCUGAAGUUGACCUCGAAUCAGGUAGGAAUACCCGCUGAACUUAAGCAUAUCAAUAAGCGGAGGA
rnacentral:misc_RNA from 1 species